rnacentral:ncRNA from 1 species
ACUGUGAAGUGCUAUACAAACUGUAGUAGAUUGAUACUUGGUAUCAUCAAGGCAGAGCACGUUGAAGCAGUAA